UGAGGAAUAUUGCGCAAUGGGGGCAACCCUGACGCAGCAACGCCGCGUGAGUGAGGAAGGUUUUCGGAUUGUAAAGCUCUGUCGAGCGGAAAGAAAUGCAUUAUGGCUAAUAUCCAUAGUGCUUGACGGUACCGCUAAAGGAAGCACCGGCUAACUCCGUGCCAGCAGCCGCGGUAAUACGGGGGGUGCAAGCGUUGUUCGGAAUCAUUGGGCGUAAAGCGCGUGUAGGCGGCUCGACAAGUCAGAUGUGAAAUCCCUGGGCUUAACUCAGGAAGUGCAUUUGAAACUGUCAGGCUAGAGUAAGGGAGAGGAAAGUGGAAUUCCUGGUGUAGAGGUGAAAUUCGUAGAUAUCGGGAGGAAUAUCAGUGGCGAAGGCGCCCAUCUGGACGGUAACUGACGCUGAGACGCGAAAGCGUGGGGAGCAAACA
rnacentral:rRNA from 1 species